AGUUUGGUUCUGGAGGUAUAACUACCAAGGAUCAAGUUCUGCAAAGGAUUUCCUUCUCCCUUGGGCAGGAAGCUGUCAGAGAUGCCAGGCAAGGAAGUACUGACCCAUCAGAAAAAGACAGUUCUGACUAGCAGCUUGCAUGGAUACAGAAAGAAAAUCUAAAUGACCCCAAUGAAGGUUUCUUUAGAGACCUUCAAAGAUCAAGCUGUUAUAUUUAAAGCCUUUCAUGAACAUAGGUAUCUUCAGAACAUUUUCAUUCAAUUGUCUCUAUUUAUCUACCUGAUAUGAUCACAUAGAAG